AUAGGAAUGGCUCAGUGGUAGAGUGCUAAGCAUGAGGUCCUGGGUUCAAUCCCCAGUACCUCCA
rnacentral:tRNA from 1 species